rnacentral:rRNA from 1 species
GAUGAACGCUAGCUACAGGCUUAACACAUGCAAGUCGAGGGGAAACGAUAUUGGAAGCUUGCUUCUGAUAGGCGUCGACCGGCGCACGGGUGAGUAACGCGUAUCCAACCUGCCCAUCACUUGGGGAUAACCUUGCGAAAGUAAGACUAAUACCCAAUGACGUCUCUAGAAGACAUCUGAAAGAGAUUAAAGAUUUAUCGGUGAUGGAUGGGGAUGCGUCUGAUUAGCUUGUUGGCGGGGUAACGGCCCACCAAGGCGACGAUCAGUAGGGGUUCUGAGAGGAAGGUCCCCCACAUUGGAACUGAGACACGGUCCAAACUCCUACGGGAGGCAGCAGUGAGGAAUAUUGGUCAAUGGACGAGAGUCUGAACCAGCCAAGUAGCGUGCAGGAUGACGGCCCUAUGGGUUGUAAACUGCUCUUAUAAGGGAAUAAAGUGGGAGUCGUGACUCUUUUUGCAUGUACCUUAUGAAUAAGGACCGGCUAA